ensembl:lncRNA
AUCAUUUUAGAUUUGUUUUAGUUUUACAAUAUGAUUGUAAGAACCAUAUAAUACAGUAGGUUUUACACAGGCCUGUUGAGAAGAAUUGUAUUUGCCUAUGAGGUAUAGGAAGGUUUAUCUUUGUGUUCUCUUAUCACUGGAGAAGCACCGUGCUAGAAAGCUGGUACAUAUUGGACAAAUGAAGGAGAAAUAAUAGAACUGUAGGACAUUUUUUUCAAGUUCUGAUAUACUGAUUGUAGAUUUAAGUACAGAAUAUGGCAAGCAAUCAAUUUAAUCCAAGUCAAAAUAUUUGCAUUCAAAAAAGGUGCUUAAACAGCAUUAGCUUAAAUCAUGUUUUCCUGGAUCAACUUCCUAUAUAUUUUUUUAGUUUCUUAAUUUAAAAUAGUCUAUAUCUUUAAGUAUAUAGUUAAAGAUUUAAAUCUCUAAUAGGAUUAGAGGGUAAUUAGAGUGUAAGAUUCAGAGGACAGAUGCAUAAUGUGGUUUCUCUACUCAAAGAAAAAAUAAAGUGAUUCAUUUGCAUUUUCUCUUAAGUUGUUCUCCUACAUCAAUAUGAGGAACAUGAAAUACAAAUACUUACAACAGAAAAAAAAAAAAAAAAGAAAUAUUCAUGUAGUCAACAUUUACUUAUGAUUUUUAUUCUCCUUGAAUAAAAUAUAGUGGUUUUCUAGUGACACUAAUUAACAUGUUAGUAGUACGGUAUUUUAAAUUAGAAAUAUUAUAAACCAUGAAGUAGACACCCAAAAACCAGACCACUUACAGAUCAUGCCUUUAUUUAAAUAAGCUUUAAUAAGCUCUUUUUUUUUUCCUAAAACAAUGAUAACAUUAAAUUUAUUUUAUAACUGAGGUAUAGUAUGUUAGACUGGGAUCUAACUGCUUUGAUGUCAUCAGAAUCUUUACACUGAAGAUUGCCUGGUUCCUUCUGCUGUUGUUGAAAAAUGCAUCCCCCUGGAUGAGCACGGCUUGUAUUUUCUGGGAUGUGGUAAGAUUCAGAAAGUGUUUUUUGUCAGGACUGAAUGUGGUGAUACAAACACAGUAAAUUCCAAUAUCUUUACAAAUUCUUGUCUCAUUUGGGAGAUGCAAGAGCAAUUUAUUUGACCACCCACCCAUCUUAUUUGCCUUCCUCAGGGAAAGAAACAUCAAGUCAUUUCUGCUCUAGGAAAGCUCUGAUGUAUUUUAAUCUGUUAUCUCCAUUACCGACUCCUGCUCAGUGCAGUAUCUGCUCCUAAAAAUGUAGGAGGACCUUGAAACUUCACUCCCCAGGCAUCAAGAAAAUGCUGAAGCAUACAAGAAGGAUACAAGAUUGGGAAGAAGUGAUGAAGAGAUUAAUGACCGGUAGAAUAUUCUAUCUCCUUUGCAGAAAGGAUAUGAUAAGAAAAGAGAAAUGCAGUAACAUGGGGAAGAGCUAUUCUCUCUCAACAUAGUCACAGAGCCUGGGAACUAGAUUCAGAAAACAACCAAGUCCCGGAAGACUGAUUAUUGCAGCAGCAAAGUUCUGGCCUCUUUGAUUCCUAGAAUCUAUUUGCAUGAAUGAGGUGAUUACUUCUUAACAUCAUGCCUAGGAGUAAUGAAGCAUCUAAAAUCUGGAGACAGGAAAGACAGCCUACUAAAGCAGUGAAAUGCCAAUGACAGUCAAAAGGAUAAUGUCAAAAGAGUGUAUUAAUAUAACUGCUUUGUAGACUAUGGUCGCUUAUUCACUAUUUUAAGGAAGUUCUUAUCCCCCCGAUGGAAUUUGCAAGCAUGUACCUGUUCUCUGGUUAAGUUAAGAGUGGAGAUGUGGCAUCAGCUAGUUAUUAUUUUACUGAUUUCUUGUCCCAGGGUGUGAAAACUUGUUCUCUCUGAGGUUUCGACUUCACAUCCACAGGAAAAUAUUAAAUGUGAUAGAAUUUUGUGUAAUAGGGAAUUUUCAGUUUCCCUGAUAUAUUUAAUUCUUUUUUCCUGACAUAAACAAGUACUUAAGCUGUAGAGAAGAAAAGAAUAAGUAUGAAUUAUUCAUUAGUUUGACUUUUAGAGUAGUUACUAAGGAUUUAGGUUCAAAUUCUUAUUUGCAGAAUAAACAUUUAAAUAAAACACUAAGAAGAAUCAGAGGGGUUGGCAACCUAAAUAGCUGCUGAUCUUCAUAAGCUAUAUGUUAGUGUAUUCUAUGCUUAUUUUGGUUUGCUAUAUGUUAAAAAAAAAUACUGGAUACUAACAUAUUUGCUUGAAAUAGACACCUAGGGCCAAUAUCUUUUGCAUCCUUUGUUGUUGCCAUAAGCUGAGCAGUGAUUAUAAAACAUGUUAAGAAGAAUGUAUUCCAUCUACUAUUUGGUUAUACUAGGAAAAGUGACUAAAUUAAAGUUGGCAAACAAUGCUAGGAAACAAGCCAUUAAUGAGCCAUACGUAGACACACAGAAAAACAAACCUCCUCUGCAUAUGAGUGAUUAAAUCACCCAGUGAAAAUUGUAUUAAUGAGCUAAAAAACAACACUCUAUUAAGGAAACAAUAGAAUCAUAGAAUCGUAGAGUAAUAGAAUCAUGGAAUGGCCUGGGUUGAACAGGACCACAAUGAUCACCUAGUUUCAACCUCCCUGCUAUGUGCAGGGUUGCCAACCACUAGAUCAGGCUGCCCAGAGCCACAUCCAGCCUGGCCUUGAAUGCCUCCAGGAACAGAGAAUCCACAACCCCCUUGGGCAACCUGUUCCAGUGUGUUACCACCCUCUGAGUGAAAAACUUCCUCCUAAUACACAACCCAAAUCUCCCCUGUCUCAGUUUAAGACCAUUCCCCCUUGUCCUAUCACUAUCCAUCUUCAUAAACAGCUGUUCCCCCUACUGUUUAUACUCUCCCUUCAAGUACUGGAAGGCCACAGUGAGGUCUCCAUGGAGCCCUCUUCUCCAAGCUAAACAAACCUAGUUCCCUCAACUUUUCUUCAUAGAAGAGGUGCUCCAGCCCUCUCAUCAUCUUAAUGGCUCUCCUCUGGACCCUCUCCAAGAGAUCCAUGUCCUUCUUGUACUGGGGGCCUCAGGCCUGUACACAGUACUCCAGAUGGGGCCUCACAAGACCUGAGUAGAGGGGCACAAUCACCUCCCUCUCCCUGCUGGCCACCCCUUUUUUAAUGCAGCCCAGAACACAGUUGGCCUUCCAGGCUGCAAGUGCACGUUGCUGGUUCAUGUCCAGCUUCUCAUCUACCAGGACCCCCAAGCCCUUCUCUGCAGGGCUGCUCUCAAGGAGAUCUUCCCUCAGUUUGUAUAAAUAUCUGGGAUUGCCCCGACCCAAAUGCAGUACCCUGCACUUGGCCUUAUUGAACCUCAUUAGGUUUUCAUGGGCCCACUUCUCCAGCCUGUCCUGGUCCCUCUGGAUGGCUUCCCUUCCUUCCAGUAUAUCGACUGCACCACUCAGCUUGGUGUCAUCCGCAAACUUGCUGAGGGUGCACUCGAUGCCAUCAUCUAUGUCAUUGAUGAGGAUGUUGAAGAGCACCAGUUCCAAGACUGGUGGAUAGGGACUGGUGUCCCUGAGGGGCACUGCUUAUGACUGGCUUCCACCUUGAUGCAGAACCAUUGGUCACAACCCUUUGGCUGCGUCCAGUCAGCCAAUUCCUAAUCCAUUGAACAGUCCAUCCUUCAAAUCCACACUUCUCCAAUUUAGAGAGAAGGAUGUGGUGAGGGACCAUGUCAAAGGCUUUGCAGAAGUCCAGGUAGAUGACAUCAAUUGCCCUUCCACUGUCCACCAAAGCUGUCUCAUGAAUCACAAAUAUAGUGAUUAUUAUAACUCAUAUAAAUUUCUUGUCUCUCAAGACAGCUUUUCUCAGACUUUGCCCUCUUUUCACUAAUAUAUUUUACAGAGCCUAUACAUGAAGAAAUUCUGUCUUAAGGAUUUUUGGAAGUUAAGAACUUGGUAAAACUCCUUUUAUAACAUGUAUAAACUUGACUACAUAGAGAAAAAAAUAUAGAAUCAAUAGACCUAUAUAACAAAGAAAGCCUAUGUGAAAUGAAUUAUUGUUGAUUCUGUAUGAUUUGAGGAUAAAGGGCAUUGCAAGGGUAGUGGACUAGACGACCUAUAAGGGUUUCUUCUGACUCAAGUGAUUCUAUGAUUCUAAGGGCAAACUAAGGUGUACAUGAUAUCUUGUGAUUGAUAAAUGUGAUUCAAAUUUACAAAGAAAUGUUAUGUCUGCAUUUCACUUCAAAAAUAAAGUAGAAAUAUGUUUGUGUUUAUAUUUAUUCCUUCACAUAAUCAAAUCUUGUUGUGUGCUUGGAGAGAGGAAGAAAGGUAACAGGAUGGAUUUUUUGUGCUGACAGUAGUUGUCCUCCCUAUCUGCUCCCAUUAUGAAGUGGAGAAGUUUCCUGUAUUACUUUGAAAAAUCUCCUUAAUCUAUUUGUUCUCUACAUUAAAACAAGAAGAAACAGCGACUACCCCAGUUAACAUUGGCAUAUAUGCAUGUGUUAGGAUAUGCAGAAAGAACUGGCCAGUCAGAAUGUGAAGUGAUUUCAUACGCCUUUCAAACACAAACACUUUCAAAAAUAUAGAUAUGUGUAUCAAAAGAGAGGUGAGAAACAUUCUUAUUUUCUCAUGUUGUGCAUAUAAUGAACUUUACAAAGGCAAGAGUAAUUUUAUUCCCAGAGGCAAGUCACUGUGGAGAAAAGAAUCCUAAAGUAGACCACAAAACAUAUCUGAAAAUCAAAAUUUGGCCAGCAAAUAAAUAAACAAAUGCAAAAAUUAACUUAAUAAAAGCUAUCAAUACAACAGUUUCUCCCUUUGCCUUCAUAAUUAUCUGUUUCUAUUUAUGAAAUAAUUUGUUAUAAAUAAAUCAUAUGACAUAGGGAGAUGUUACUGGAAAUUAAAGAAGCAGAGAAAAUUUAUUUUUAAAAAUAUGUGAAUAAAUUGUUUUAGAUUAAGCAUUACAUCAAUACUGCAUAAUUGAGGAGCAUUUGGAUAAAUACUGUGGAUAAGAAUCUGAGUUUGCAUUCUAAUUUAAUAUUUGUUGGACUCAAGCAUUGUGAAUCUGUUUUUCCCCAACUUGACCCCCAAAUGAUUUUAUUUUCCCUCCUAACUCACCUCCCCUCCACUGCCCCCAACCAUCUCCAGUAUAUGUGGAAUCAAAGAACCCUGUUUACAAAAGAAUACACGAGAGACAAAAGCAACAAACCCAAAGGCCAUUCUGACUUCCACUAGUUUUCUAGGAGAAGAUUUUCAAAGGACACUAAGGCUAUGGACACAAAAUCAAAUUAAGAGGUUUGAGUGCAUUUAGACAUCUUUGAAAAUGCCUCUCAAUUUUUGCUUUGGUACUGCAAUGAGAAUUAAAGAAGCUUACAUUUCAGUGCCUAGACCUUGUGUUUGAAGAGUGUGCUACCAUUUUCCACUGACUACAAAUUCCCAGUAGCAAUUCUUGUAUGAUUUAUUGUAGUUAAAGUACAGUCUCUCCUCUUUUUAAUGAAAAUCAAAGAUGAGUCAUAUAAAUUACCACAGCUUGCAGGAAACAAAGCUCUUACAAUCCUAUGAAAUAUAUUGGCUCACAUAAGUGAAUCCUGUAGUUGUUACGCUUCUAGCUUUUUCUGAUGUAUAUUUUUGGGGGGUUACUUGUUACAAAAAAUCUAUGUUUUUCUAUCCAUUAUUUUUAUUAUUCCCCUCAAUUUUCUUGGUUUUCCCUUUUGUCUAAGUUAGCUCACUAGCAUCAUUACUCAGAGCAAUUCUAAGCAACUGCAAUAAGAGUGGUAGACAUGUCUAUUUAAUGAUGCAGUUUCACACAAAUUCAUUUGCUUGGGCUUAUAUCUGCUAUUAGGGGCUAACAAUUCCAGAGGCUUAAAUGUUUAGGCUGUUGAAAGUUCAAACAAACUGCUGGAGGCUUUGGCUUUUUUCUUCAGUCACAGGCAAUCCUUUGGAAUUAACUCACAAGGAUCACUUGAGGAAAUCAACAUAUCCCAAAAAGCAGCAGUUGAUUUGAGGGAAACUGGGAUUUGGGUGGUAGUUGUGCUGUUUAUUUUCUGUGUGUGGACUUGAGUGAUUCCUUCCUUUAAGGACAGAAAUAGUGUAAUAACGAGCAAGCUUGGACAAAGGAACUAACUGAAGGACAUCAAUAAAAUUCUGCUAAAACAACUUUGCCCCUUGUAGGCAUUUGUCUUUAUUGGCUUUUGCCUUUUUAACCUUCAGAUAAGUUAUAUUUGAUUGCCCAUCUGUUGAGAUAGACCCACCAUUGAAAGGAGAGACAAAAUGUUUCUAGUAUAGCCACGAAACAUGGAGCAGUAUAUUGUAAAAGGUAAGAGGGGAUUCAGGUACUGUCCUUUGCUUGAAUACUCCUACAGUAACAAUGACUAAAUGACUGAACUACCCAAUCCCAAUAUGCACUCUAGGCACAUUGCAACUCCACUGUGAAGUCUGACUAUGCACCUGCCAUUCCUGACACCUUAGAUUAUUAGGAGAGAAGUCCCUAUACAAAGGCUAAUGAGAGCUAUUGUGUGCAUGACACCUCUUCAGAAUCCUGACUACAGGCUGUCAGACUGAUGUCCUAGAGUUCACUUCAGAUAAACAGAAUGUUGUCAGUGAGAAUGAAUAUACUUUAUAGAAAUUGCCAGUAUCUUAUCAGAUCUUUUGCAAAUCAACCCAGCUCCAUUGCACCAGUAUAUUUCAUUAACAAUGUUAGUGUUCUUUGUGUGCUAUACUGGAAGAUUUAUGUUUCAAAUGUCGAUAGAAAACUACCCUUUGCUUUACCGGAUCAGGGCACGCAUGGGCCACAGAAUGUAAUGUGUAAAAAGGAAAUGGGUAGUUUUAAUGAAAUCAAGAUAACCAUUAAAUUAAGACUCUAUAGCUGUAUGGAAAAUAUGGGAGUUUUUUCUCAAGUCAUUGCCUUUUGUUCAGAAGUUUUUUACUUGAAUUAAAAAAAGAUAAAUGUAAAAAAGAACCACGUAUAUUUUCCAUGCUUUGAUGUUCUUUUACAAAGAAUACAUUAAAAAAAUCUGUGAAGGUAAAAACAUCCAAACUACUUUUUUUAUUCCCUUUCACACAUCAUACAAAACUUUUUUUUUUUUUUUUUUUUUUUUUUUUUUAAUCAGUUAGUCAUGCUGCAAGAGUUUUCCUGUCUUUGCUUGGUAACUUUUAUCCAUUAUUUUUAUAAUGCUGUGAACAUUAAUUAAAAAAAUAUAUUAUUUAAUUUUAGUAGUGUAAGCUCUGAAUAUCAGCUCUG